GACGAGUGGCGGACGGGUGAGUAAUGUCUGGGAAACUGCCUGAUGGAGGGGGAUAACUACUGGAAACGGUAGCUAAUACCGCAUAACGUCGCAAGACCAAAGAGGGGGACCUUCGGGCCUCUUGCCAUCGGAUGUGCCCAGAUGGGAUUAGCUAGUAGGUGGGGUAACGGCUCACCUAGGCGACGAUCCCUAGCUGGUCUGAGAGGAUGACCAGCCACACUGGAACUGAGACACGGUCCAGACUCCUACGGGAGGCAGCAGUGGGGAAUAUUGCACAAUGGGCGCAAGCCUGAUGCAGCCAUGCCGCGUGUAUGAAGAAGGCCUUCGGGUUGUAAAGUACUUUCAGCGGGGAGGAA
rnacentral:rRNA from 1 species